GAGCCUUUAGCUCAGUUGGUUUAGAGCAUUACCUUGACAGGGUAGGGGUCACUGGUUCGACUCCAGUAAGGCUCACAA
rnacentral:tRNA from 1 species